GCUCCAUUGGCGCAGCUGGUUAGCGCGUGGUACUUAUAUGACUGAGAAAUGCCGAGGCCGGGAGUUCGACCCUCCCUUGGAGCA
rfam:Heligmosomoides polygyrus genome assembly, scaffold: HPBE_scaffold0007681